rnacentral:misc_RNA from 1 species
GAUGAAGAACGUAGCAAAAUGCGAUAAGUAAUGUGAAUUACAGAAUUCAGUGAAUCAUCGAAUCUUUGAACGCACAUUGCGCCCGCCAGUAUUCUGGCGGGCAUGCCUGUUCGAGCGUCAUUUCAACCCUCAAGCACAGCUUGGUGUUGGGACUCGCGUUAAUUCGCGUUCCUCAAAUUGAUUGGCGGUCACGUCGAGCUUCCAUAGCGUAGUAGUAAAACCCUCGUUACUGGUAAUCGUCGCGGCCACGCCGUUAAACCCCAACUUCUGAAUGUUGACCUCGGAUCAGGUAGGAAUACCCGCUGAACUUAAGCAUAUCAAUAAGCGGAGGA